rnacentral:rRNA from 1 species
GUGGGGAAUAUUGGACAAUGGGCGAAAGCCUGAUCCAGCCAUGCCGCGUGUGUGAAGAAGGUCUUCGGAUUGUAAAGCACUUUAAGUUGGGAGGAAGGGCAGUAAGUUAAUACCUUGCUGUUUUGACGUUACCGACAGAAUAAGCACCGGCUAACUUCGUGCCAGCAGCCGCGGUAAUACGAAGGGUGCAAGCGUUAAUCGGAAUUACUGGGCGUAAAGCGCGCGUAGGUGGUUUCGUAAGUUGGAGGUGAAAUCCCCGGGCUCAACCUGGGAACUGCCUCCAAAACUGCAUGACUAGAGUACUGUAGAGGGUAGUGGAAUUUCCUGUGUAGCGGUGAAAUGCGUAGAUAUAGGAAGGAACACCAGUGGCGAAGGCGACUACCUGGACCGAUACUGACACUGAGGUGCGAAAGCGUGGGGAGCAAACAGGAUUAGAAACCCGAGUAGUCC